UCCGAACACCAAAUCCGGAUCCAACGUGAACAUUGAAGGUCCAGUCCAAAGCUUGCUGAAGAAAUUCGCUGAAAGCUUCAAACGCGAUUCUUCCAAAAGCGCUUCCUAGAAGCGCUUCUCUCCUCUCACCGGCGUUGACGUUAACGCCUCUAAAUCCUUCCAUUCACACGAACUCCGGUAAAACUCUCUCGGAGCUAAACAAAUCUCGAAACGUAAAAACCGAAUCCUAAUACGCGAGCUCAGGAAUUAAACGGCGAUGGAGAAAAGUCACAUACCGUAAUGGUUUUCGCAACGUUCACCGACGAGAAGCGGAUCGAGAGCUUUCGGAUCUACUUCUCCUGUUCUUCUUCUACUUCAAUCUUCCUCGCCGUUCUCUGGUGCUUUGAAUCGCGGCGUUCACGUAUCUUGAAUCGAAGGCGCGGUUCGAUCGUUGGAUUCGAGAGGAUUCACUGAAGCAAGGGACACCCUGGAUUGGGGAUGGAAUCAAAGUCCAGCAAGAACAGCCAAUGAAUUCGCCGGCAAAGAUGACCGAUGCAACGACGAGGUUAGCGGAAGCUCGUCUCAGAGACUGAGGCAGAGUGGAUUCUAGCUCCACCGAUCAAAGCUUCAACGUGGAGCUUUGAUGGCUUUGUCUCAGAGCUUUGGUAAGGGUGGAAUGGUGGUGAAGAUGCGGAAUAGAAGAUGGAAACUGGAAGAAGCAGGUUGAGAGUGAUGAUUGAAGAGGAGUUCUUGGAGGAGGUUGUGGGGUUUUCUGUUAGAGGUUGGUUAGAGGUUUGCUUAGGUUGGAAGAAUGCAGGUUUGGUUAGGGUGAAGAAACUUUGGUUGAAUGGUGAUGGAGGUGGUAGAAGAAACUGGUGAAUUGUUGAAUUAUGGGAAAGAUGAUGGAAGAAACUUGGAUUGAAGAUGGAGGAUGGUUCUUAUAGGAGAGUAAGGUUAGAGAGAUGGUUGGUUAUGUCCUAGAAUCGUUCAAUUGAGGCACUUUAGGGAAUUGGUUAGAAUUUAGGGAAUUGGUUAGAGUCAGUUAUGACAAUUGGGAGGUUAGGAGUCAAUGACCAUUGGCAACAGCUGGAAUUGAUUAGGCGGUUAUGACGGGUGAAGACAGUUAGAUUUCUGUUAUAAAGUUAGUUUGCAAUUUUUCUGAUUCUGUUAUGUACUGCUUUCUUUUAUGCAGGUUUUGUUAGAAGGUUGUUGAUAGUUGGAAGUUAUGAAGGGUGUUAUGAAUGAGUUGAAGGAUUCAUGAUGAUGAAUGAUGAAGAGUGAAGUUCUAUCCUCCCAAAAAAAUUGUUUGCAACAUGACAAUGGCUUGAGGUUCACGACCAAUACAAAUAGAAUAUGUUGGUUAGUGGUAUGGAUUUCGGGAUGUCCCUCAGAAGCUGCAUAAUCAGCGUGCUGUCUUUGUAAGAUUCCUCAUUGAGAGAAUCCAAAUCAACAAUGGCUACAUCAAAUGCUUGCUUGGCACG